rnacentral:pre_miRNA from 1 species
AUCACCUGGGGCUUUUGUUAAAAUACAGAUUCUGAUUCAGUGGGUCUAGAGUGGAGCCCAAGAUUCUGCAUUUCUAACAUGCUACCAAGUGAUGCUCC